rnacentral:rRNA from 1 species
ACACGUAGGCACCCGACCCUGCUACCUUCCACCGACUUCAUCAUCUCAACUUCCCAAUCCCACCCGUCCCCCCUAGCCCCACGCCACCGCCAUCUCCUCGCCGGCGAUGGACCCGCUGCCCCCUUCGCCGGUGAACUGGGACUCGCUCGACGCUCUCGUGCUCGACUUCGUCAGAUCCGAUCGCCUCAUCGCCCCUCCCGCCUCCCCAUCGCCGCCCUCAUCCCCAUCCUCCUCCACCACCACCGCCACCUCCUCAUCCCCAUCCACCUCGACCUCCUCGUCGUACUGCUCGCGCAUCCUCAUCCGCCGGGCCCGUCGCGCGCUCGAGGCUGGCGACGUCGACGCCGCCCUCGCGCUCCUCCGAGCUCACGCCCCUGCCGCGUUACUCGACCACCGCCUUCUCUUUCACCUACACAAGCAGAGAUUCGUGGAGCUGGUGAGGCGGGGUACGGAGGCAGACAGGGAGGCGGCGCUCGACUGUCUCCGCACAGCUCUCGCACCCUGUGCUCUCGACGCUUACCCUGAAGCUUACGAGGAAUUCAAACAUAUACUGCUGGUUUUAAUAUAUGACCAAGAUGAUCAAUCUUCCCCAGUCGUCAAUGAGUGGUCUAUAAAGAGGAGAUUUGAACUUGCUGGGUUGCUAUCAUCCAUAUUAAGAGCUCAUUUACAAGCUUAUGAUCCUAUUCUCUCAAUGUCCUUAAGAUACUUAAUAAGCAUUCACAAAGUAUUCUGCUCGCGCCAAGGAGUUUCAUCACCUAUAUCUGAUCUAACUGAGCGGCUACUCUUCGAGGACCGUGAUCCGCCUGCAGUUACCCAGGAAUGUUCAGUAGAAGCACCACCAUUUGACGAGGUUGAUGUUCAAGCCCUAGCACAUGCGGUUGAGUUGACAAGACAAGGCGCUAUCGACAGCUUGAAGUUUGCAAAAGGAGAUUUGUAUCAAGCAUUUCAGAACGAACUGUGCCGAAUGAAGAUGGACCUGUCACUUCUGGAUAAACUUGUACAUGAGUACUGUAUAUACAGGGGAAUUGUUCAAGGCUGUUCUCAUGCCCUUCCUGGAACUGCUGACAUGCAAUGCAGUCAAAACAUUGAUGUUAGUUUCAUAAAUAAUCAAGGAGCCAACAAUGAAGCACAGCUUGAUUGUGAAUCGGCUGGCAAGCAGGAUGGCGGUUGUUGCACCAGUGAUAUUACCCAUCAUGAUUCCUGGUCGAAGAGAUUACGAAGGGUUAGAAGCAGUACAUCAGGGCAGGGAAGGCGAAAGAGAUGGAGAGGUCGAGCAGAUGAUCUUAAUUAUGCUUUUGAGACUCCAGUUGAUGCAAAUCGUGAUACCUUGUCUCCUGCCUUUGACAUGGACGAAGAUGUUGUAAUAGGAGAACAUGACUCUGUGUUAGAUACUGGUUUGUCUGAUACUAGGAAUAUGCAAGAUCAGAAGUAUGAGGUUAUUUUAGAGAUGAGGGACCUCACACGCAAAGGAAUGGCUUCCAAAGUUGUGGAUGAAAUAAACAGCAUAGAUCCUGAUUUCUUUUCGCAAAACCCUAUUCUUCUGUUUCAGCUAAAACAGGUUGAAUUUCUUAAGCUAGUAGCUGGCGGUGAUCAUGUAGCUGCUCUCAAGGUUGCAUCUGCGCACCUGGGACCUCUUGCUGCCAGUAACCAAGCUUUACUGAAGCCUUUGAAGGAAACUUUGGUAACACUGAUUCAACUCAAUGAGGAUGUACUCACAAAAGCAGUAUCGUUGCCUGUUCUUGCAAGUUCUCUGCAGCUUGCGAUAAGCAGGAGGCUUGGUAUUGAAGAACCUCAACUGAUGAAGAUAGUCAGGACAACACUUCACACACACACCGAAUGGUUUAAGCUUCAGAUGUGCAAGGACCGUUUUGAUCAUUUUUUGAAGAUUGAUUCUCUAAAAGAGAUUGAUCCACCUGUGAGUCGCACUAUGUCCAAGGUUCUUACAGAUGAAUGUGGAAAUGGAUCUUCUCAGAUCACAACAUGCUCAAGUGGCAAGGUGCUGGAUGAAGGUAGUAGCCCUCAGGAGUCAUCGGAAGUUGUCUGCGAUGAAAGCGCUAUACUCAAAGUUAUGGAAUUCCUUGCUUUGCCAAGGGCCGACGCCAUCCAACUACUCAUCCAGUAUAGCGGAAAUGCAGAGACAGUGAUCCAACAAAUCUUUUCAUAGUGCCUUGUGUAAAAUACCACACAUUUUAUUUUAUUUUAGAAAGCAAACUGUUUCUUCAUACUUUUCCUUCUUUAGCUGUAUUUGGACUAGGCGCCCAUUUCAACCUUGUGUGAUUCUCUUUUUGCUCAUGUAACACUGAAACUUAGGGGCAAAAAAGUCAGCAAGGACCAAAGAAUAAUGGAGAAGUAGGAAGUGAUUGAAACCGUGGCGGUUGUGGAUUUGUGAUGCGUUUGCCAGUGGUUUAAUCUUUGUUUGGCCUUUUGGUGUAUUCUGUGAUUAUGGAAACAAAUGAUCAUAAAAAACUGACAUGGAUAUACCCUCUGUGUGGAAUCAUGCAACAAGGUGUUGUACUAGAGCAUAAGUAUCAUGUAAUUUUACUCCGUGUGUGGCUGCUUUGUAUACCAUGUAGAACUUACAUAUGCUAAAUGGUCGUAUCCUGGUG